GGAAUUGACGGGGCCCGCACAAGCGGAGGAGCAUGUGGUUUAAUUCGAUGAUACGCGAGGAACCUUACCUGGGCUUGAAAGUUAGUGACAUUCUGUGAAAGCAGAACUUCCGCAAGGACACGAAACUAGGUGCUGCAUGGCUGUCGUCAGCUCGUGCCGUGAGGUGUUGGGUUAAGUCCCGUAACGAGCGCAACCCCUAUCAUUAGUUGCCAUCAGGUCAUGUUGGGGACUCUAAUGAGACUGCCCGCGCAAGCGGUGAGGAAGGUGGGGACGACGUCAAGUCAUCACGGCCCUUACGUCCAGGGCUACACACGUGCUACAAUGGUAGAUACAGCAGGUUGCCACAUGGUAACAUGGAGCUAAUCCCAAAAGUCUAUCUCAGUUCGGAUUGAGGUCUGCAACUCGACCUCAUGAAGCUGGAUUCGCUAGUAAUCGAAAAUCAGCAAUGUUUCGGUGAAUACGUUCCCGGGCCUU
rnacentral:rRNA from 1 species